rnacentral:rRNA from 1 species
UACGGAGGGUGCAAACGUUGCUCGGAAUUAUUGGGCGUAAAGCGCGCGCAGGCGGUUCUUUAAGUCUGAUGUGAAAGCCCACGGCUCAACCGUGGAGGGUCAUUGGAAACUGGGGAACUUGAGUACAGAAGAGGAAAGCGGAAUUCCACGUGUAGCGGUGAAAUGCGUAGAGAUGUGGAGGAACACCAGUGGCGAAGGCGGCUUUCUGGUCUGUAACUGACGCUGAGGCGCGAAAGCGUGGGGAGCAAACAGG